rnacentral:rRNA from 1 species
UACGUAGGGUGCAAGCGUUAAUCGGAAUUACUGGGCGUAAAGCGUGCGCAGGCGGUUUUGCAAGACAGAUGUGAAAUCCCCGGGCUCAACCUGGGAAUUGCAUUUGUGACUGCACGGCUAGAGUGUGUCAGAGGGGGGUAGAAUUCCACGUGUAGCAGUGAAAUGCGUAGAGAUGUGGAGGAAUACCGAUGGCGAAGGCAGCCCCCUGGGAUAACACUGACGCCUCA